rnacentral:rRNA from 1 species
UUGCAGAAUUCCGCGAAUCAUCGAGUUUUUGAACGCAAGUUGCGCCCGAGGCUUGACCAAGGGCAUCUCUGCCAGAGCGUCACCGCGAC